rnacentral:misc_RNA from 1 species
GAUGAAGAACGCAGCGAAAUGCGAUAAGUAGUGUGAAUUGCAGAAUUCAGUGAAUCAUCGAAUCUUUGAACGCACAUUGCGCCCCUUGGUAUUCCAUGGGGCAUGCCUGUUCGAGCGUCAUUUGUACCUUCAAGCUCUGCUUGGUGUUGGGUGUUUGUCUCGCCUCUGCGUGUAGACUCGCCUCAAAAUAAUUGGCAGCCGGCGUAUUGAUUUCGGAGCGCAGUACAUCUCGCGCUUUGCACUCAUAACGACGACGUCCAAAAGUACAUUUUUACACUCUUGACCUCGGAUCAGGUAGGGAUACCCGCUGAACUUAAGCAUAUCAUAGCGGAGGA